AUUGAACGCUGGCGGCAUGCUUUACACAUGCAAGUCGAACGGUAACAGGCCUUCGGGUGCUGACGAGUGGCGAACGGGUGAGUAAUGCAUCGGAACGUGCCCAGAGGUGGGGGAUAACGCAGCGAAAGCUGUGCUAAUACCGCAUGUGAUCUGAGGAUGAAAGCGGGGGACCAGGCAGCAAUGUUUGGCCUCGCGCCUUUGGAGCGGCCGAUGUCAGAUUAGGUAGUUGGUGGUGUAAAGGCCUACCAAGCCGACGAUCUGUAGCUGGUCUGAGAGGACGACCAGCCACACUGGGACUGAGACACGGCCCAGACUCCUACGGGAGGCAGCAGUGGGGAAUUUUGGACAAUGGGCGCAAGCCUGAUCCAGCAAUGCCGCGUGCGGGAAGAAGGCCUUCGGGUUGUAAACCGCUUUUGUACGGAACGAAAAGGCUCUGGCUAAUACCUGGGGCUGAUGACGGUACCGUAAGAAUAAGCACCGGCUAACUACGUG
rnacentral:rRNA from 1 species